rnacentral:rRNA from 1 species
GGGCUAAUACCGGAUGCUUGUUUGAACCGCAUGGUUCAAACAUAAAAGGUGGCUUCGGCUACCACUUACAGAUGGACCCGCGGCGCAUUAGCUAGUUGGUGAGGUAAUGGCUCACCAAGGCGACGAUGCGUAGCCGACCUGAGAGGGUGAUCGGCCACACUGGGACUGAGACACGGCCCAGACUCCUACGGGAGGCAGCAGUAGGGAAUCUUCCGCAAUGGACGAAAGUCUGACGGAGCAACGCCGCGUGAGUGAUGAAGGUUUUCGGAUCGUAAAGCUCUGUUGUUAGGGAAGAACAAGUACCGUUCGAAUAGGGCGGUACCUUGACGGUACCUAACCAGAAAGCCACGGCUAACUACGUGCCAGCAGCCGCGGUAAUACGUAGGUGGCAAGCGUUGUCCGGAAUUAUUGGGCGUAAAGGGCUCGCAGGCGGUUUCUUAAGUCUGAUGUGAAAGCCCCCGGCUCAACCGGGGAGGGUCAUUGGAAACUGGGGAACUUGAGUGCAGAAGAGGAGAGUGGAAUUCCACGUGUAGCGGUGAAAUGCGUAGAGAUGUGGAGGAACACCAGUGGCGAAGGCGACUCUCUGGUCUGUAACUGACGCUGAGGAGCGAAAGCGUGGGGAGCGAACAGGAUUAGAUACCCUGGUAGUCCACGCCGUAAACGAUGAGUGCUAAGUGUUAGGGGGUUUCCGCCCCUUAGUGCUGCAGCUAACGCAUUAAGCACUCCGCCUGGGGAGUACGGUCGCAAGACUGAAACUCAAAGGAAUUGACGGGGGCCCGCACAAGCGGUGGAGCAUGUGGUUUAAUUCGAAGCAACGCCGAAGAACCUUACCAGGUCUUGACAUCCUCUGACAAUCCUAGAGAUAGGACGUCCCCUUCGGGGGCAGAGUGACAGGUGGUGCAUGGUUGUCGUCAGCUCGUGUCGUGAGAUGUUGGGUUAAGUCCCGCAACGAGCGCAACCCUUGAUCUUAGUUGCCAGCAUUCAGUUGGGCACUCUAAGGUGACUGCCGGUGACAAACCGGAGGAAGGUGGGGAUGACGUCAAAUCAUCAUGCCCCUUAUGACCUGGGCUACACACGUGCUACAAUGGACAGAACAAAGGGCAGCGAAACCGCGAGGUUAAGCCAAUCCCACAAAUCUGUUCUCAGUUCGGAUCGCAGUCUGCAACUCGACUGCGUGAAGCUGGAAUCGCUAGUAAUCG